rnacentral:lncRNA from 10 species
UUAACCUGGCUUUUUAUUAUGUAUUACUUUUGAAUGUCAACAUAAAUAACAAACAGAGAAAGGCUCUCUAAAAACAUUCAGUUUAAUCAAAAAUAGCAGGGCAUUGCAAUGCAAAUAUGCAUGCCAUGGCAACCAUGGGUACAUUCAGGGAUGCAGAAAAAACAUGGGGUUUGUAAAGGUAAAAUGAAGAGGAUUACAUAAAUAGUUUAAAAAUAUUAAUCCUUGGCUACAAGGAUCAAUAAAUAAUAAGAGUGAGAUCAUCCCAUGGCUAAAUAGGCAGUUGCUGGACAGAUGUCCUCACAGAAAUACUUUUUUCUGUGUGCAAGAUUGCAGUGGUUCUGCCAAUAUCUCUUGUGAUAGUGUUUAUCAGGCAAAUAUGCAUGAGACCGCUCCCUUCCAAGCCUUCCUUGGCUCUAUUUUGUGAGGGUUUGACAAAAGUGACUCCAUUUUGGACCUGACAACUUUUGAUCCAAAGCCUUCUGAUAAGUAUCACUGAUUAAUCAUUAUGCGCUUAGGUUUUGAUUGUCCUUUGUCUCAUCCCACAUUGGAAGAAAGAGAUUGGU